rnacentral:rRNA from 1 species
CCUACGUGAGGCAGCAGUGGGGAAUAUUGGACAAUGGGCGAAAGCCUGAUCCAGCCAUGCCGCGUGUGUGAAGAAGGCCUUCGGGUUGUAAAGCACUUUCAGUGGGGAAGAAAGCCUUGGGGCUAAUACCCUCGAGGAAGGACAUCACCCACAGAAGAAGCACCGGCUAACUCCGUGCCAGCAGCCGCGGUAAUACGGAGGGUGCGAGCGUUAAUCGGAAUUACUGGGCGUAAAGCGCGCGUAGGCGGUCUGAUAAGCCGGUUGUGAAAGCCCCGGGCUCAACCUGGGAACGGCAUCCGGAACUGUCAGGCUAGAGUGCAGGAGAGGAAGGUAGAAUUCCCGGUGUAGCGGUGAAAUGCGUAGAGAUCGGGAGGAAUACCAGUGGCGAAGGCGGCCUUCUGGACUGACACUGGCGCUGAGGUGCGAAAGCGUGGGUAGCAAACAGGAUUAGAUACCCCAGUAGUC